rnacentral:rRNA from 1 species
UACGGGGGGGGCUAGCGUUGUUCGGAAUUACUGGGCGUAAAGGGCUCGUAGGCGGCCGCCUAAGUCAGACGUGAAAUCCCCAGGCUCAACUUGGGAACUGCGUCUGAUACUGGGUGGCUUGAAUCCGGGAGAGGGAUGCGGAAUUCCAGGUGUAGCGGUGAAAUGCGUAGAUAUCUGGAGGAACACCGGUGGCGAAGGCGGCAUCCUGGACCGGUAUUGACGCUGAGGAGCGAAAGCCAGGGGAG